AGUGAACGCUGGCGGUAGGCCUAACACAUGCAAGUCGAACGGCAGCACAGUAAGCGCUUUCUCUUACGGGUGGCGAGUGGCGGACGGGUGAGGAAUACAUCGCAAUCUACUUUUUCGUGGGGGAUAUCGUAGGGCAACUUACGCUAAUACCUCAUACGACCUACGGGUGAAAGCAGUGGAUCUUCGGACCUUGCGCGAUUGAAUGAGCCGAUGUCGGAUUAGCUAGUUGGCGUGGUAAAGGCCCACCAAGGCGACGAUCCGUAGCUGGUCUGAGAGGAUGAUCAGCCACACUGGAACUGAGACACGGUCCAGACUCCUACGGGAGGCAGCAGUAGGGAAUAUUGGACAAUGGGCGAAAGCCUGAUCCAGCCACACCGCGUGGGUGAAGAAGGCCUUCGGAUUGUAAAGCCCUUUUGUUAGGAAAGAAAAGCAGUGGGAUAAAACCCGGCUGUUCUGACGGUACCCAAAGAAUAAGCAACGGCUAACUUCGUG
rnacentral:rRNA from 1 species